rnacentral:rRNA from 1 species
UACGUAGGGUGCAAGCGUUGUCCGGAAUUAUUGGGCGUAAAGAGCUUGUAGGCGGUUUGUCGCGUCUGCUGUGAAAUUUCGGGGCUCAACCCCGAACUUGCAGUGGGUACGGGCAGACUAGAGUGUGGUAGGGGAGACUGGAAUUCCUGGUGUAGCGGUGAAAUGCGCAGAUAUCAGGAGGAACACCGAUGGCGAAGGCAGGUCUCUGGGCCAUAACUGACGCUGAGGCGCGAAAGCGUGGGUAGCAAACAGG